rnacentral:rRNA from 1 species
GAUGAACGCUGGCGGCGUGCCUAAUACAUGCAAGUCGAGCGAACAGACGAGGAGCUUGCUCCUUUGACGUUAGCGGCGGACGGGUGAGUAACACGUGGGUAACCUACCUAUAAGACUGGGAUAACUUCGGGAAACCGGAGCUAAUACCGGAUAAUAUUUCGAACCGCAUGGUUCGAUAGUGAAAGAUGGCUUUGCUAUCACUUAUAGAUGGACCUGCGCCGUAUUAGCUAGUUGGUAAGGUAACGGCUUACCAAGGCAACGAUACGUAGCCGACCUGAGAGAGUGGUCGGCCACACUGGAACUGAGACACGGUCCAGACUCCUACGGGAGGCAGCAGUAGGGAAUCUUCCGCAAUGGGCGAAAGCCUGACGGAGCAACGCCGCGUGAGUGAUGAAGGUCUUCGGAUCGUAAAACUCUGUUAUUAGGGAAGAACAAACGUGUAAGUAACUGUGCACGUCUUGACGGUACCUAAUCAGAAAGCCACGGCUAACUACGUG